rnacentral:rRNA from 1 species
CCCCUAGAUGUUCUGGGCCGCACGCGCGCUACACUGAACAGUUCAACAAGUCUUAACCUUGGCCGAUAGGUCUGGGUAAUCUUUGAACGCUGUUCGUGGCUGGGAUAGACCUUUGCAAUUAUGGGUCUUCAACGAGGAAUUCCUAGUAAACGCAAGUCAUCAGCUUGCAUUGAUUACGUCCCUGCCCUUUGUACACACCGCCCGUCGCACCUACCGAUUGAAUGGUCCGGUGAAAUCUCGGGACGGCGGCUUGGUCGCUUGCGUCCGACUGCUGAAACUUGAUUAAACCAUAUCAUUUAGAGGAAGGUGAAGUCGUAACA